UCCGUAGGGUGCGAGCGUUGUCCGGAAUUAUUGGGCGUAAAGAGCUCGUAGGCGGUUUGUCGCGUCGGAUGUGAAAGCCCGGGGCUUAACUCCGGGUCUGCAUUCGAUACGGGCAGGCUAGAGUUCGGUAGGGGAGAUCGGAAUUCCUGGUGUAGCGGUGAAAUGCGCAGAUAUCAGGAGGAACACCGGUGGCGAAGGCGGUUCUCUGGGCCUUACCUGACGCUGAGGAGCGAAAGCGUGGGGAGCAAACAGG
rnacentral:rRNA from 1 species